UACGUAGGGUGCAAGCGUUGUCCGGAAUUAUUGGGCGUAAAGAGCUCGUAGGCGGUUUGUCGCGUCUGCUGUGAAAACUCGGGGCUUAACUCCGGGCCUGCAGUGGGUACGGGCAGACUAGAGUGUGGUAGGGGAGACUGGAAUUCCUGGUGUAGCGGUGAAAUGCGCAGAUAUCAGGAGGAACACCGGUGGCGAAGGCGGGUCUCUGGGCCAUAACUGACGCUGAGGAGCGAAAGCGUGGGGAGCGAACAGG
rnacentral:rRNA from 1 species